rnacentral:rRNA from 1 species
UACGGAGGAGGCAAGCGUUAUCCGGAAUUAUUGGGCGUAAAGCGUCCGCAGGUGGCACCUCAAGUCUGCUGUCAAAGACCGGGGCUUAACCCCAGAAAGGCAGUGGAAACUGAAGCGCUAGAGUGCAGUAGGGGUAGAGGGAAUUCCCGGUGUAGCGGUGAAAUGCGUAGAGAUCGGGAAGAACAUCGGUGGCGAAGGCGCUCUGCUGGACCAUAACUGACACUCAGGGACGAAAGCUAGGGGAGCGAAUGGG